rnacentral:misc_RNA from 1 species
UUUUGAAACGCGUAGGCAAAGGAGACUCUGACUAGUAGACCUCCUGGAUCCAACCCAAUCCAGAAUCCGGAGGAGGCCAACCGGUGUAGCGGUAGACUCCGAUUGAGAGGAGGAGAGAGAAAGAGGCAGGCAGAGAUGCUCGAAAGCCCUGCACCUGCAGCUCAGCCUGAUUCCACCACCGUCGUCAAACGCUAUGCUCCUCCCAAUCAAAGGAAUCGUUCUCUUAACAGGCGCAAAUCAGGAGACCGGUUUGAUCGAAGUAACAGUCUUUAUGCAAGUGAUGCAGAGAAGAAUCAACAGUUUGCCCCUCCAAGAAACCUUCCAAUUGUAGAUCAUGUUGAUGUAGGGAGCAGCAAUGUCCUGAAUGAGAACUCUCGUCCAGGCUUAAUAAGUUUAGAUGGGUGCUGUCGCAGUGAGGCUUCCCAGCUUUUGAAUGAUCGUAAGUGCAUAAUGCAGUUGCUUUAAAGGAUUGCUUGUGGUCUCCAAGCAAUAAUAUUGAUUACCUUGUUGCUUUAUUUUAUUUGUUAUUAUUAUUAUUAAUUUUUUAUCAAUAGCAUAAUAACAGCUAAAUUUUUGGAGUAACAAUCUAUAUAACAACUAAAAUAACAUGGUCACCCUGGAGCGAAAUUGAACACUUGAUGUGAUUCACAGUGCAAAAUAAUUUUGACUUUUUAUUUUUGCUGGUCACUUAGUCCCUUGACAGAUAUAUCAUAAUUGUGCUCAAAGUAUAAGUUUUAUUUCUUGGAGGUAGGUUCUUUCAUUAUUCAUAUAAGUGAUCGGAUGGUGCUUUUUAGGAACCUUUUUAAAGUGGUCUUAUUUUAAACAUCACAUUGCUAUCCUCUUCCUCAACGAACAAUUGAGUCAAUUGUCUUAAAAGGAGUGAAAUUAUUUAGUUCUGGUUACUAAAUUUUGUGAAAGUUUCUUGUUUGGACCAACUUAAAUAUUUUCCCAAUGCCUGAGAGAUCACUUUUUCUCCUUUAAUAUUUCAAAUAUGGUAUUUAGAUGGGUAGAAAAGCAUGUUUUCUGACAGUAGAAUAUUAAAAUGGUGUUAAUGGAUUUGACCCACCAAUUUUUUAGAAUCAGGAUGAAUUGGAUUGAUGUCACUUGUAUACUUUGUGGUUUCCUGUUAAUCUUAUUUAUUUCAAAUCCACAGAAAAUUUCACUUAUUUGAUGACUACUCUGGUAAUUGCACUUAUUUGAAGUCUUUGGUUGUUUGUUAUGUAUUUUAGUGGGUGUGGAGUGUGAGCAAAACUAAUGCAUAAAGCAAAGAAGAAGUUCAAAUUUGUUUCUGUUUUGGUUACUUAAUUGAUUAUAUAGGAUAAUGCUUGGGUUAUUUUAGAAGUGCAAGGGCCCAUGCAAGGUAUGGUGUGACCUGUUUACCUUUAUGUUAUUUUAAGUGCAGGCUGGGCACUGGCAAUGCAUAACUACAAUGAUGUAUCCAUAGAUUUAUCUGAAAGGCCGGUUAUGUAUUCAGGAAGUAGUGCAUCAGCAUGGGGAAACUUAAGACCUCCUCAUCAGUUAAUUUCUCCAGGUGGUGGUCCCUCUUCUGGUUCACAGAUGGACUUCUUAAGUGAACUUCGCCGUGCUAUUCGGAAUGCCAGUGCCAAUUCCAACAACUAGCAGUCUUACAUCUCUACUUAAGGAUGAAUGCUGUCCAACAGCUAGCAGUCAUACAUCUCUACUUAAGGAUGAAUGCUGUCCAACAGCUAGCAGUCA